AAAAAAAAAGGAAAAAAAAACUAAAGUCACUGAACUGCCUAAGCAUUUCCUUUACUGACUCAUACAAGGUUUUUCAACAUUUCAGUACAAAAAGACAAGACAAAAAGAUGAGUCUUAAAAUCUUCAUUAUGGAACUCUGACAAUGAAUAGAGAAAGAAGGUGCAGGUACAUUUAGCACAUGUGUGAUGUGUACAUUUAGCACAGGUACAGGUGUACAUUUAGCAGAUGUAUGCUAUCAUGCGCAUCAUGCUACAUGUAUGCUGUGUACAUUAACCACAUGUAUGAUAGUAUGCUAAUCAUGCUACAUGUGUGCUGUGUACAUUAACCACAUGUAUGCUAGCAUGCUCAUCAUGCUACAUGUAUGCUGUGUACAUUUAACACAUGUAUGCUGUGUACAUUUACCACAUGUGUGUUGUGUACAUUUAGCACAGGUAUGCUGUGUACAUUUAGCAGAUGUACGCUGUGUACAUUUAGCAGAUGUAUGAUAGUAUGCUAAUCAUGCUACAUGUAUGCUGUGUACAUUUACCACAUGUGUGUUGUGUACAUUUAGCACAUGUGUGUUGUGUACAUUUAGCACAUGUGUGUUGUGUACAUUUAGCACAGGUAUGCUGUGUACAUUUAGCACAGGUAUGCUGUGUACAUUUAGCACAGGUAUGAUAGUAUGCUAAUCAUGCUACUUGUAUGCUGUGUACAUUUAGCAGAUAUGUGCUGUGUACAUUUACCACAUGUAUACUGUGUACAUUUAGCACAUGUGUGCCCCCCUUCUUUUUCUAUCUCUGCUCAAGCAGAUGGGCUUGAAGGAUGGCAGCACUUUCACUGACUAUUCAAAUCGGCUGAUAAGACAGGGGAAGAGAGAAGGAAGAGGAGAGAAAGACACACACACACACACACACACACACACACACACACACACA
ensembl:lncRNA